UACGGAGGGUGCAAACGUUGCUCGGAAUCAUUGGGCGUAAAGCGCACGUAGGCGGUCCGGCAAGUCGGGUGUGAAAGCCCUCGGCUCAACCGAGGAAGUGCACCCGAAACUGCUGAGCUUGAGUGCCGGAGAGGAUGGCGGAAUACCCCAAGUAGAGGUGAAAUUCGUAGAUAUGGGGUGGAACACCGGUGGCGAAGGCGGCCAUCUGGACGGUAACUGACGCUGAGACGCGAAAAGCGUGGGGAGCAAACAGG
rnacentral:rRNA from 1 species